CUUUGGAUGUGAGGCUAGCCAGGUUGGCACAGUGGUGAGAAUACAGCAUGCAAACUAACUCUGCCCAUUGCCAGGAGUUUGAUCCUGACCGGUUCCAGGUUGACUCA